UGGAUAGCAUUUAAUCCUCUCAUCUCUCAUUAUGAGAAUUCCUCUCACUUGAAACAUCCCCUAUAUAUACACACAUAUUUGUCUUUCAUUCUGCAUAACACAAAGCUGCUCAACAUAUAUGUAAGACUACAUCAUCCAUAAAAGGAUCAUCUGAUAACUAAUAGGUAGAAUAUAGAUGAUAUCCUAAUGUUUUUUCAAUUAACACUAAUAUUGUUACAACCAAAAACAAGAGAGUCAUUAACUAGUUAAGUGUAGUAAACUUAUUAGCUAGUUGAAGUAGUAGCCAAAAUCAGACAGAUAAUGAGUUUAUGCUGCUGGAGCAUAAUCAUAACCACCAUCAUCGUCGUCGUCUCCUUCAUUGCAAACUGCAAGAGGAUAGUCAUACAAAACAGCACCUUCAUCAUUUCCAUGCUUCUGGCACCAUGAAGCAACAACUCUUGAAACAAAUGACAUUUUUUUUAAGAGCAAAAUAUUGUUUCUAGCAAAGAAGAAUUAUAUUUAAGAUAUAUAGUAAUUAAUGUAUGAUUGUUGAGAUGUUUGAGUAGCUUAGGAAGAGACUCAAUGCUCUUUAUAUAAAGACAAGGGAAAGUAUAAGACAUGUUUUAGCACAAGUAAAGCAACAAGAGAAGUGUGGAGUUAUGCUUGGUGUGUGAG
rnacentral:lncRNA from 1 species